GACGAACGCUGGCGGCGUGCCUAAUACAUGCAAGUAGAACGCAGUUGCGAACGGGUGAGUAACGCGUAGGUAACUGCCUCAUAGCGGGGGAUAACUAUUGGAAACGAUAGCUAAUACCGCAUACUGUGAGAUGGACCUGCGGUGUAAUAGCUUGUUGGUGAGGUAAAGGCUCACCAAGGCGACGAUACAUAGCCGAACUGAGAGGGUGAUCGGCCAAACUUGGACUGUGACACGGCCCAGACUCCUACGGGAGGCAGGCGUAGGGGAUCGUCGGCAAUUGACGGAAGUCCUGACGGGCAACGCCGCGUGAGUGAAGAAGGUUUUCGGGUCGUAAAGCUCUGUUGUUAGAGAAGCGGUACCUAACCAGAAAGGGACGGCUAACUACGUGCCAGCCGCCGCGGUAAUAC
rnacentral:rRNA from 1 species